rnacentral:rRNA from 1 species
AGAGUUUGAUUCUGGCUCAGAACGAACGCUGGCGGCAGGCUUAACACAUGCAAGUCGAACGCGUGUAGCAAUACACGAGUGGCGCACGGGUGAGUAACGCGUGGAUAUCUGCCUUCUGGUUCGGAAUAACCCCGGGAAACUGGGGCUAAUACCGAAUGGUUCCUACGGGAUAAAGAUUUAUCGCCAGAAGAUGAGUCCGCGUCCGAUUAGCUAGUUGGUGAGGUAACGGCUCACCAAGGCGACGAUCGGUAGCUGGUCUGAGAGGGCGAUCGGCCACACUGGGACUGAGACACGGCCCAGACUCCUACGGGAGGCAGCAGUGGGGAAUUUUGCGCAAUGGGCGGAAGCCUGACGCAGCGACGCCGCGUGAGGGAUGACGGCCUUCGGGUUGUAAACCUCUUUCAGCCUCGACGAAGCCCUGUGGGGUGACGGUAGGGGUAGAAGAAGCACCGGCCAACUACGUGCCAGCAGCCGCGGUAAUACGUAGGGUGCAAGCGUUGUCCGGAAUUAUUGGGCGUAAAGAGCUCGUAGGCGGUCUGUCGCGUCGGCUGUGAAAACUCGGGGCUCAACCUUGAGCUUGCAGUCGAUACGGGCAGGCUGGAGUUCGGCAGGGGAGACUGGAAUUCCUGGUGUAGCGGUGAAAUGCGCAGAUAUCAGGAGGAACACCGGUGGCGAAGGCGGGUCUCUGGGCCGAUACUGACGCUGAGGAGCGAAAGCGUGGGGAGCGAACAGGAUUAGAUACCCUGGUAGUCCACGCCGUAAACGUUGGGCGCUAGGUGUGGGAUCCCUUCCACGGGUUCCGUGCCGCAGCUAACGCAUUAAGCGCCCCGCCUGGGGAGUACGGGCCGCAAGGCUAAACUCAAAUGAAUUGACGGG